rfam:Stegodyphus mimosarum contig30530, whole genome shotgun sequence.
GCCUUCGUGGUGUAAUGGUCAGCACACUCGGCCCGUAUUCGAGAGCUCCAGGUUCGAGUCCCUGUGAGGGUA